GGGCGGGGCCGGGGCGGGGCCUUCGCGAAGCUCCCAGAGGGUGCGGCCGCCCAGAGCGAACCCCGAGCGCCAGCGAGCGGCGCGGUGAGACGUGGCCUCGUGCAGGUAGUACCACGAGAGCUUGUCUGGCAAGGAGGCUGAGAAACUGCUGCUGCAGAAGGGACGUCCGGGCAGCUUCCUGGUGCACGAGAGUCACAGCAAUCCUGGGGACUUCCCGCUGUCAGCGCUGACGCAGGGGUGGGACAAGCCAGAUGAGAAGUACGAUGUGGGAGACAGGGAGCACUUUGGUAUCCUCGGAGACCCGGUGGAGCCCGGCGAUGGAGAAGGCAGGGGCUGUCGUGCACCUCAAGCAGGUAUCAGAAGCAGAGAGAGCGAGCGAAGGCAGCAUACAUCAGCGUUUUCUUCUCUGCACUUACAAGAAAGAUCAAAGACUUUAAGACUUCCACUAUUUCUUCUACCGCCAUCUACUACGAACUCCAAAGAGGAACCAGGAGUACGGGAGGAGCAUGAACGUGGACAAGGAGCGUGACCGUUG